AUUCCGCGUGACUGGCGAAAGUCCUCUUCCUUUGUAUGGAGAUGGAUGUGGGAAACCACUCUGAUUGAAGAGUGAACAACCACAAGGGAGCGCGGAAGCCGAUUUCGAAGCCGUUCGCCUGGGCAGCCUU
rnacentral:ncRNA from 1 species